UAAUAAUCCCCACAUCUAUCGGUACUU
rnacentral:piRNA from 1 species